CUUUCAAUUUGAAAUCCAUGGUCUUAUCUAGGCUGGGAUCUAUUAUGAGUUUACUUAUAUUUAUGACUUUGGACAAAAUGUACCAAAAUGUUCCAAUUUUUUCUUCAUAUAUAUUUUGUAUCACUUCUACUGUAUCUUGUUAGAGAAUAAUCUGGAAGUAACUUUUUCCAAAAUAGAUGUAGCCAAUUGUCACCCCUUUUCAAG
rnacentral:lncRNA from 1 species